rnacentral:lncRNA from 1 species
CAAACUGUCAUGACAGAAUCAUGAACUUUAUACUAUAUUCUUUAUACUUUAUUAUAAGGAAAUAAAUUUUAAAAUGCGAAUUGUAUCAUAUGUGAAACAAUGGAAACGGAUAUAUUUGCCUUUUUACGUAAGAAACGGACCUGUACAUAUUAUGGUAUCCUUGGCCAAGUGGUUACGAUCGCUUACUUGGAGACCUCGCUUACGGUGUGAAAUUCUUUUUAUAUGAGGUAGCAAUCCAGCGGCUUACUGAAGAUCGAUGAUUCUAUACCUUUCCUUAGAUAAUGCCUGGAAGAGCACCUGACACCAAAUGCAGACGAAAUUAUGUCUAUUUUGUCUGACGUUACCAACUACACCUUUGUAUUUGUUAAAAACGCAGGCAUAACAGCAGAAGGAUUUUUAGCUCUGGCCGCCAUUUUAUGCAGCGAAGCAGAACGUGCCAAUGAUAUGCGCAACUAGGCUUGGUACUGAUCACUCCUGUGAUGGUUCGUCAAUAUAGCAUAUAGCUCUCCACCAGUGAGAGGUCACAGCAGUACGAAGUCGGCGCUCUAACCACCAGACCAUGAAACAACAGUUCAAAAGUACAUAGGAUUGCUUUGAGAACACCUUGCUUGUAACCUUUAUUGAUCGUGCCGUGUAUGACUCAUACUUUUCUGUGAUAGGUGUAUGUACCGCCACAUUGUAAUUGGCGAUGAACAUGUAUAUGUUUUAUGCCAAAUAAACUUUGAUUUGACUUGACUGAUCUAUGGAAAGACGUCUGUAAGAUGGAAACUAAGAUGAAUUUUAGAUAGAUCUGAGAAUUAUGGAAAGGUUUUUGCAAACUGGCUCCAUUCGAUACUGGUACCAUCCGACAAUCUUAUGGAUAUUCGAAUAUGCUGUAGGUCGGGAUUUAUUGUUCAUGCUUUAUAGUGGACAAAACAUUUAAUAUUUAAAACUUUAAAAAAAAUGCUCUAAGUUUGUAUUGACACAAGUUUGCAGUCGUCACCAAGUUCUGCUGUCUUUUUACAAAUUCAGUAAUUUAUGUAUUUUGUUAUAAAGCUUUAUUGUUAUACAAAACUUCUAAAUUCCUAAUAUUUUUGUAGGAUUUUUUCACCAUGCUUUACGUUGUCUUUGGUAGCUUCUAUUUCUACUUCAAUGUGACUUUUAGAACCGGUUUCUUUUAUAAGAUACUUCAAAAGCAGUAAGAAGUAACAACCUUUCAGGAAAAGCUAAGCAAAAUGCUCAUCAGAACAUUCCGAUUUUUCAUUUGUGGUGAACAAAUAGAACUGUCACUGUAUUAUUAUAAACUGAAAACCAUCUAUCUUUGGGUAAGUCGUAACGCCUUAAUCAUGAUGUUGAAAAGUCGCAAGAACGAGGAUGAAAAGUCGAAAUAAUAUCGCGUUUUCACUAUCGUUGUUUCGUAGUUUCGAGUUUUCACCAUGGUAUUUUCUUCAUUUCAUCAUGAUUGUGGUUUCGUUGUUUCGACUUUUAAUCAUGCUUUCGGGCUAACGGUGUUUAUUUCGGCGGCGAUAACCCUAACGGGCUACUGUAGUAUUAACAUUUCGUCUUGUUAAACUGUUUCUAAUUGGCCCAUUUAUAUGGAAACUCAAGCAGUUGAAACAACUGGAUAAUACACUAUUGAUACAAUACACCGAAAUCUGGUACAAACAAAACAAGGUAAACGAAAGGUUAAGGUCGCCGACUUGCCCCUCGUUGAUGCGGGGUUGAAACCUCGUUUGGAGUGUAGCAUUAGGCCGGGUAACAGUCGCCCCGAGGGGGUAUAUGUGGUCUUCCUCCAACGUCAAAGCUGGAAAUGUCGCCGUAGGAUAUUUGACGGUGUAACAAUAAACGCAAAAACAACCAAAAAGGAAAACAAACAAAGUCUAAUACCGUUGGUAAUUCAAUAUCAAAGGCAACGUAAAAUGUAGACAAACAUUUUUGUAAUAUAACCACACAAAGAGCCUGAACUUAUAUAUCCGUUGUUUCUAAUGUGUUUAGAUACAAACAUUAUUGUCCGAGCUAGGUGCCACAUUAAAAUUCAUAUUACGUUUUGUAUUAUUACAAAAUGUUGAUGAACACUUUUGUUUUGUAUCACUUUUGCAUAUAUUCUUUCAGUUCAUUUCUAUGAUUAGAUCUAUUUUAUGUCA